rnacentral:tRNA from 1 species
GCUACCGUGGUGAAAUUGGCAGACACACUAGACUUAAAAUCUGGAGGCAUUGUGGCCAUAUGAGUUCAAGUCUCAUCGGUGGUA